rnacentral:lncRNA from 1 species
UCGCGAGCGUUGCAAACUCGGCAGGGUUUGGUGAUUAUAGGUGUAUCGACCUUUUCCGCGCUUCCGACUUAGCCGGAUUUCUGUUUACUUGCGCAUCACAGAUGAAGGCGUGAUAGAUUGUGACAAUCAAGCUGAUGAAGCUCAGCAGUACUGUUCUGAUACACUUGCAGCACCGAGCAAUCAACAAAGAGCUAGAGUGGGCACUUGCGAGGACGUGAGGAAGUGAUCUUGGAUGAGGCUGGCCUUCUUCAUUCCUUGCGAUUGGGCAGUACUCCUAAACGUUGUGGAUGUAGAAGACAGCAUGCGGUCCACAACGUUUAGGGGCAUUGCGCAAUGGCAAUGAAUCAACAAGGCCAUCCCAUCCAAGAUCACUUGCUCACGCCGUGCUGGUGCCCACUCUAUAUCCAUUGACAGUGUCUGCUCCACCUUCAUUGACAGCCAGCAUGUCUUAGACUGCAAGUGUGUCAGACAUCUUUGCUGACCUCUACCAUAGGAGCUUGCACCUGUGGCCUUCCCUGUUGUAGUUGUCUUUAUUUAAAGAAGCUACUUGAUCAAGCGGUAGCAAGAUAUGUCUGAUCUCAAUUGGAUGAAUGCUACACAGAGACGAGAUGCUGCACGACGAUUCUGUGCUGUCUACAACAUGUGAGACUUUGUGCUUGGGACUAGAGCAGAAGGAUACCUUUGCUGAGCGUCCUCAAUGUUGAGGUUGCAGUCACUACCAAUCAUCUUCUUGCUGGCUACCUUUGACUUUGAGGUUUGCCUCAGUUUGGACAGGACAGGCAACCACUCUGAGGCCCGGUGGAUCUCGGCUUCGUGACAUUGCAGCCCGCAUGGAGCUUUCUAGUAGCUUUACGUCCCGCAGACAACAGGGAUUCAAAAGAAUUGAAGGAUAGUGGACCUCCACCAUCGUGUUAAAGGGGAGAAUAUUCGCGUAUGUCCCACAAAUAGUGUAAUUUUUGGUACUUGCUCUGGGUGUACAUGUAGUGUACACUAGAAGGGGAAUUGUUGAAAGAGUGCAGGACUAAAACGGCCAGUGUUCUUCUCCGUGACUCCUACCUUCCAAUAGAUGAAAGCUUUUGGGUGCUGCCUUGUUGUUCCCAUUGCUACCUUUGCAUGCAUGCCGGCGGUGAUUGUCUUGGGCAGUGAAAUCUUGCGCACAAGUGACUUAGGCAUAAUGCAUAUUGGGAAAGCCUGUUGCUAUGUUCUGACACUUGCGCAAGAUACUGACAAUUUGUUGCAGACAAGAGGUUUGAGUGCUUAUUUAAUAAGUUGGUAGUUUGGGAUGCCGUUGUGGGGGAGGGAAGUGUUGCAAUUGACAAGGAAUUAUAAAAUGUUUACAAGAAGGAGUGUCCGAGUCAUCAUGACUCAUGAUCAUC